GAGAAAAAAAAAGAGAGGGGAGAAGGGAGAGAGAGAUUCCCGGUAGGGGGAGAGCACCGGUCAGGUCAUCGGUAGACCGUCCGUCGCCGGUGCCAGCCACCGUACACGGUGGCCGGAAAGGUAAUUUCUUCAUUUUUUUUAUUUUUUUCUGUUUAUAUUAUUCUUGUUAUUUAUCUGUAUAUAAAUGCAAAAAGAGAAAUAUAUCAAGAAAUAAGAAAAAUCACCUUUGGCUUCUGACUCGAAUCUGUUUGGAUUGUUUUAUUGUUUUUCUUUUUACUAUACCCUUUUCUUUUUGGAUGCUUGAACCACUAUUUUGGAUACUAGAUUAGAAACUUAUCGUUACAUUUGAAAACUGUUUCUAUUUUUUGAUUUUUGUUCAGAGGAAAAACAAAGAAAAAGCCCCCUUUCGAAAUACAAAAAACCAUCCCCGUACAUUUGGUUUCUUUUUCGGCUUUAUAGCCGAUUACAAAAGAAAUAUUUCGUGAUCUCUGCUAUUGUUUGCUGCUUCUGCUCUGUUUCCCUUCUCUUUUGCUUGCUUUCCUUUCGUUUUGCAGGUAAUGGGCGAUGGGACGGGGCUGAGGCGUCGUCAGAGGCGUCAAAGGGCAGGUGUGGCCGGUGGGGUUAGGUGAUUUAGGGUUUCAAAUUUUGAAACCUAGGUGAUUUAGGGUUUCAAAUUUUGAAACCCUAAAUUUAGGCUAUUUGAGCUUGGAUUUGGGUUGUAAAAUGGGUUAAGGGAUCUGUUUAAGGUGUAAUGGGUUGGUAUUUUGGGUAGUUAGGUUGGUGGGUCUGUUUGGGUUUUGAGAGGCUUGUUGUAAAUGGGUUUGGGUAGGUUAGUUGGGCUUACCGGGUUUUGUUUGGGUUUUGGGUAAUGUAUUGGGUUUAAAAAUUGGGUUGGUUGGGUUAAAUUGUAAAUGGGCCCGAGUCAUUUAAAACAGCCCAAAAUUGGUCUAUGACAGUGACAUUUCUGAAUAACCACAUGUCUAAAAGAG
rnacentral:lncRNA from 1 species